rnacentral:rRNA from 1 species
UACGUAGGGUGCAAGCGUUGUCCGGAAUUAUUGGGCGUAAAGAGCUCGUAGGCGGUCUGUCGCGUCUGCUGUGAAAACUCAGGGCUUAACCCUGAGCUUGCAGUGGGUACGGGCAGACUAGAGUGCGGUAGGGGAGACUGGAAUUCCUGGUGUAGCGGUGAAAUGCGCAGAUAUCAGGGAGGGAACACCGGUGGCGAAGGCGGGUCUCUGGGCCGUAACUGACGCUGGAGGAG